ACUGCUCAGUAACACGUGGAUAACCUGCCCUUGGGUCCGGCAUAACCCCGGGAAACUGGGGAUAAUUCCGGAUAACGCAUAUGUGCUGGAAUGCUUUAUGCGUCAAAUGGAUUCGUCUGCCCAAGGAUGGGUCUGCGGCCUAUCAGGUAGUAGUGGGUGUAAUGUACCUACUAGCCGACAACGGGUACGGGUUGUGAGAGCAAGAGCCCGGAGAUGGAUUCUGAGACAUGAAUCCAGGCCCUACGGGGCGCAGCAGGCGCGAAAACUUUACCAUGCGGGAAACCGUGAUAAGGGGACACCGAGUGUCAGCAUCAUAUGCUGGCUGUCCAGGUGUGUAAAAUACACCUGUUAGCAAGGGCCGGGCAAGACCGGUGCCAGCCGCCGCGGUAACACCGGCGGCCCGAGUGGUGAUCGUGAUUAUUGGGUCUAAAGGGUCCGUAGCCGGUUUGGUCAGUCCUCCGGGAAAUCUGAUAGCUCAACUAUUAGGCUAUCGGGGGAUACUACCAGACUUGGAACCGGGAGAGGUAAGAGGUACUACAGGGGUAGGAGUGAAAUCUUGUAAUCCCUGUGGGACCACCUGUGGCGAAGGCGUCUUACCAGAACGGGUUCGACGGUGAGGGACGAAAGCUGGGGGCACGAACCGGAUUAGAUACCCGGGUAGUCCCAGCCGUAAACGAUGCUCGCUAGGUGUCAGGCAUGGCGCGACCGUGUCUGGUGCCGCAGGGAAGCCGUGAAGCGAGCCACCUGGGAAGUACGGCCGCAAGGCUGAAACUUAAAGGAAUUGGCGGGGGAGCAC
rnacentral:rRNA from 1 species